rnacentral:rRNA from 1 species
GACGAACGCUGGCGGCGUGCCUAAUACAUGCCAGUUGAGCGCUGAAGGUUGGUACUUGUACCAACUGGAUGAGCAGCGAACGGGUGAGUAACGCGUGGGGAAUCUGCCUUUGAGCGGGGGACAACAUUUGGAAACGAAUGCUAAUACCGCAUAAAAACUUUAAACACAAGUUUUAAGUUUGAAAGAUGCAAUUGCAUCACUCAAAGAUGAUCCCGCGUUGUAUUAGCUAGUUGGUGAGGUAAAGGCUCACCAAGGCGAUGAUACAUAGCCGACCUGAGAGGGUGAUCGGCCACAUUGGGACUGGGACACGGCCCAAACUCCUAAGGGAGGCAGCAGGAGGGAAUCUUCGGACAUGGACGAAAGGCCGAACGAGGAACGCCGCGGGAGGGAAGAAGGUUUUCGGAUCGGAAAACUCGGUUGGUAGAGAAGAACGUUGGUGAGAGUGGAAAGCUCAUCAAGUGACGGUAACUACACAGAAAGGGACGGCUAACUACGUG